GCUCUCGGGUGACGAGCGGCGGACGGGUGAGUAAUGUCUGGGAAACUGCCUGAUGGAGGGGGAUAACUACUGGAAACGGUAGCUAAUACCGCAUAACGUCGCAAGACCAAAGUGGGGGACCUUCGGGCCUCAUGCCAUCAGAUGUGCCCAGAUGGGAUUAGCURGUAGGUGGGGUAACGGCUCACCUAGGCGACGAUCCCUAGCUGGUCUGAGAGGAUGACCAGCCACACUGGAACUGAGACACGGUCCAGACUCCUACGGGAGGCAGCAGUGGGGAAUAUUGCACAAUGGGCGCAAGCCUGAUGCAGCCAUGCCGCGUGUGUGAAGAAGGCCUUCGGGUUGUAAAGCACUUUCAGCGGGGAGGAAGGCGGUGAGGUUAAUAACCUCAUCGAUUGACGUUACCCGCAGAAGAAGCACCGGCUAACUCCGUGCCAGCAGCCGCGGUAAUACGGAGGGUGCAAGCGUUAAUCGGAAUUACUGGGCGUAAAGCGCACGCAGGCGGUCUGUCAAGUCGGAUGUGAAAUCCCCGGGYUCAACCUGGGAACUGCAUUCSAAACUGGCAGGCUAGAGUCUUGUAGAGGGGGGUAGAAUUCCAGGUGUASCGGUGAAAUGCGUAGAGAUCUGGA
rnacentral:rRNA from 1 species